UCUCUCUCUCUGCCUCUCUCUCGCUCUCUUUUUCUCUCUCUCGCUCUUCCUCUUUUUUUCUCUUUCUCUCAUUCUCGCGCUCCCUUACCCUUUCUCUCGCCCUCCCUAUCUCUCCCUGUUUUUCUCUCUCACUCCUCUCGCACUAGCUCUCGCUCUCCCUAUCUCUCUCCCUGUCUCUCUCUUUCUCUCUUUCUUUCUCUUUUUCUCAGUGUAAACACAUUCUGGCCAGGCCACAGCUCCCCUCAUGCUCUCACAUCACACUCCCCCUACAAGUCUCUGUUAACAUUCUCACUUUGUGAUUAGAGAGAUACCCUUCCAGGGCCACCCACGCCCAACUAACACCACACGCCAUCCCCUACAUAGAGUGUGAUGUGUGUGUGUCCCACAUUCAGCUUAAAAUCAUACUUCACAAAACCACAUUUAAUUCCACACAGUGUGCUCUCAGGCUUUAAAUGAAUGUGUAAUCACGUAGCUAGCUGUCGAGUCCAACUGGGAAACAAGACUGGGUUACGCUGAUCCAGGAUGUAGGGGAUACCCUAUCAGGUUUCCUGACCUGAUUCUGGUAGUAGAGCGAAGAACUCCUUUCUAUUUCACUUGCUAUUAUCCAGGAACAGGGAACAGAACAAGCUGCACAGAAGAGGAGGAGAAAUAAGAGGAGAGGGGUUGGAUGAGCCAAUUGGAAGGAGAAAGUGAGGCCUGCCUUGUUUCAGAAACAGUCAGACAAGUGUCAACGUCUCCUGUGGAUCACAUUGCAUGUGGAGCGCAGCCAUGUGCUCCUGCUUUUUCCAGUCUCUCCUCUUUCUCGCCCUCCUGGU